rnacentral:snRNA from 1 species
AAUAAUAUACCAAUAAAAUGUG